AAAAAGCGUCGGAUGGCUAUUUAUACCACGCUCAGCCUAAGAUUAAAAGGGUGAGUGCUGUAUGGCACAAUCAAGACGUAUGGGCCGACAUUAUUUCUGGAAACCCCCAUAGGGUUGGCUCGCUCGGCCGACCCUCCU
rfam:Brassica napus, WGS project CCCW01000000 data, contig: 25368